rnacentral:rRNA from 1 species
AGAACUUUGAAGAGAGAGUUCAAGAGUACGUGAAACCGUUCAGGGGUAAACCCGAGGAACCCAAAAGAUCGAAGGGGGAGAUUCAUCGUCAGCGGUGCUGGCUUCACGAUGGCUGCGAUGUCGCGGAUUACGGUCCGACGGCACGCGGUCGUCGUGUAUUGUCCGGUAACGUCGGCGUGCACUUCUCCCCUUGUAGAACGUCGCGACCCGUUGGGUGUCGUUCUAAGGCACGGUGGGAAGCCUGUCUCGUCGCUUCACGGCGCAUCGAGGCAGACCCCCGUUCGCCAGUAACGGCUGCCCGGCGGUACGCACACGGUAUCGAGCCGCAAUUUUCGAAUGCGUCGGACCCGCCGCAAGCGCGGCCAGCGUCUCAAUAUCGGGAAUCACGGACCUAGUGCCGUCCCCGGACCUGGCCAGCUGUUGGUUGGCGGUGCUCUCCGACUGGCUAAAAAUGAUAUACCGGUCAGCGACGCUACUGCUUUGGGUAAUCUCAGGACCCGUCUUG